rnacentral:rRNA from 1 species
AAAAAAAUGGAAGAAUGGAUAAGCCCGGCAUUUUGGAUCUAAGCGGCGAGCAGUUUUUCGGAGGCGAGCGGCGGGAGGUUUCGACGGCGAGCUGCCGGCAGCUGCUGCUGGACACGGAUGCGUGUGGCACUGGUGGUGCCUCGUUUGCCGGAGGCAGCACCGAGUCGAGCGGCCGGUGCUGCAAGAGGCUUCACGGUGGGUGGCGGCCUCUUCGGCGGCGACAGUGUGGCGACCCGCCUCCAUCCCCCUCUCCCUUCCUUGCCCGUGGCGAUGGACGAGGACCAUGGCCCGACCUCCUUCUCCAUAACCCGCACCCGCGCUCUCCUAUUUUCGCCGCUGGACUCUCAUCGCCACGGCGGCGGCGGCCCCUGCCCCCACUCCACGCUCCUCUUCUCUUCGUCGCGCACGGCGGCAGAAGGAGGGUUUCUGAUGGGAGCAAGGCUUGCGACCCCUCCGUCACAACUGCUCCGGGGCCCGGACAAAGCCGAGGCCGUCUCUGUGAACUCUCCAGCGAGCUGAUCAUUGCCCUCCUCCAUCUAAGAUGCAAGGUAGCAGCAGCAAUACAGGUUCCAUGGCCUCUGUCGCAUAGCUGCCACCCAAAGCAGUCCCCAGGGUACGGUGGUGGUUGGCAUUCUGUUUGAUGCGGGCUGCAUCUACUCCCACGACAACGGUCAGCAACUAUGUGUUCACCAUCGGAGUUCUUCAGUAUCGCCCCCUCUCUGUCAUGUAUGUGUAGUUUACUCUCCCAUGCCAAGUAUCUGCUUGAAUUAAGUCAGAUUCAGUAAGAAAAUUUGUUAGCUAAACUUGGAUGGAUUGUGUCCCCAAGUGCAGAGCUGAAACAUUAUGUAUAUUAUUUCGGUCUCGUCCCCAAAUAUAUUUGUUUUGGGCAUAGCUAUCGUACAAGCUUAGUACUCGGGCUGUCAUAAUUUCUUUUGCGUAGUUUGUAUGUGCUUAGUCAGAUAUCUUAUUGGUUUUGUUCAUAGAUAGAGUCAUUUAUUUAACCAUCAAACAGAGCACCUCAUCUAUGGCCUGUUUGAUGGUGGCCUGAAGAAAAACAAGAACCAUUGGUAUUCGGAUUGGUUAGGAGUGUGGCUCGAUUCCUCUUCAUUUUAAUAGUCCCAAAUUUGAUUGCAUCAGCCGCUUCAGGAGAUGUUCAUGUGCGCCACAAAAUUAGCUUGAUCUGAUGAUAGUACGAGGCUACCUGCCGGCUACUCUGUAGCUCCUAGUGUAGCUGGCUGGACUAUGCAGCUAUUUAAUUGGCGUUCAGAACUAGUGCCUUUGGUAGUUCCAGCAAAUUAGGGAUUCAGUAGCGCUCUUCUGUUUUCGAGUUUGCUCUCGUUAGUACAGGGAUAGCAUUGCCUCCAAAAUAUAUAGUGAUAGCUCUACAACCGAAGGAAAAAAAAAUUGGCUGAAGGUUCUACAAUUGUCCUGUCCAAACUGUAAUAUUUAGAUAACAUGAAUUCUGAUCCCAGAGUUCAGUUUUGAUUUUCAGGAGUGCGAAAUAACUGUAAUAUCUGCUUGAAUUAAGUUAGAUUCUAUAAGAAAUAUAGUUUCCUGAAUUUGGAUGGACUACGUCCCCAAAUGCAGAGCUGAAGCAUUUUUAUACUAUUUUGAUCUCGUCCCCGAAUGUAUGGCGUUUUGGGCAUAGCUCUCCGACAAGCUUAGUACUCAGACUGUCAUAUUUUCUUUUCCCCACUUGUAUGUGCUUAGUCAGAGUUUUUUCUUGUUUUUGUUCAUAAAUAGUGUCAUUUCUAAUUUAACUUUACUAGACAUGUAGAUGUCAAUUCAUAGUUUAUUAUUAUGGUUAUACAUUCGUAUUACUUUGCGCCCGUCUCCUUAUAAUAAGAAAAUGCUAUUGUUUCCAUCCUCCAUUGUUUACGGGAGGAAGAGUGUUCAGCAUUGUCAUAUACC